rnacentral:lncRNA from 1 species
UAUAAGAUAGAAAGAGAAGACUUUCUAUUGGUGCCAGGCCAACUCAGAGUCAGAAGAGGAUGAGCAGAACUCAGAGGAGGUUUGAUUAAAACUGGAAGAGACAAGAGGGUGUAGAACUUGAGGAAGAGGCGCAACAGGCUGAGUGCUGUGGCCCUGUUGGUGGAAGAGAAGGUACAAGAAGAGACCACUCUAGUGGAUGAUCCUUUUCAUAUGAAAAUAGGUGGUAUGGUACCCACCAUACAGGUAUCCACCAUAGUUUCCUAAAGAAACUAAACAAAAGGGACAAAGAUAAAAUCAGUGAAGAGGAAGACACUGGGGACAUUGUUUUCUGCAGAAACCAACUGAAGGGAUGAGAAUGCAGACAUAAUAAAGUACGUUGAGACAGAGCUGAAGAAGAGGAAAGAGACUAUGGAACAUAAGGAACAGAAAGUCAAGCUGAAGAACACAGAGGACUGCCUUUAUGAACUUCAAGAAAACAUUUGUGUUUCCUCAGCAAAGAAGACAGAGGAGAUGCUUUCUAGCCAGAUGCUGAGUGGCAUCCCCAAGGUGGACCUCAGCAUCAAUGCUAAAAUAAAAAAUAAUAUCAUUUCCAUGGAGGAUGCCAAAGCCCAGCUGGGGAAGAACAGCAGAACAAGAAGAAAGACAGUGAGACGUCCUUCGUGCCUACCAACAUGGCUGUGAAUAUAUGCUGCACAACCGACUUUUAUCAUUAGGAGCUCAACAGCCUCAUACAUAGAAACAAAGAAGAGCCUUGAAAGCAGGUGACAGGGAGAAGCCAGAGCCUGAGUGGUCCUUUCCAAAUGGCAAGCAUCCUGUUAAUGAGAAGGCCCCUGAUGACUAUCACUAUGAGAAAAGUUCAAGAAGACGAACAGGCAGUA